rnacentral:rRNA from 1 species
UGAGGAAUAUUGGUCAAUGGGCGCUAGCCUGAACCAGCCAAGUAGCGUGCAGGACGACGGCCCUAUGGGUUGUAAACUGCUUUUAUGCGGGGAUAAAGUCACCCACGUGUGGGUGUUUGCAGGUAUCGCAUGAAUAAGGACCGGCUAAUUCCGUGCCAGCAGCCGCGGUAAUACGGAAGGUCCGGGCGUUAUCCGGACUUAUUGGGUUUAAAGGGAGUGUAGGCGGCCUGUUAAGCGUGUUGUGAAAUGUAGAUGCUCAACAUCUGAACUGCAGCGCGAACUGGCUGGCUUGAGUACACGCAACGUGGGCGGAAUUCAUGGUGUAGCGGUGAAAUGCUUAGAUAUCAUGAGGAGCUCCUAUUGCGAAGGCAGCUCACGGGAGUGUCACUGACGCUUAAGCUCGAAGGUGCGGGUAUCAAACAGG